rnacentral:lncRNA from 1 species
UAUUGAAUGACAGAUAUUUUUCUAUAAAGUUUAUUCUUUUAUUUUUAUCCUUAUAAAAAUUAUAAUAUUUUCAAAUAUAGUAAGAUCCGUUAGAAAAAAUAUAGUUAAUCAUAAGUAAAAAUAUUUAAUUCUGAUUAGUGAAUUAGUUAAAUUGACCUUUUUACUUCUAUUAUGUUAUCGGGUAAAAUAUUUUUUGAGAGGAUAUUUCUGUAUAAUUCUAACAGCUCAGGCUUUUGAAGAGAUAUAUUUGUAUGUGCAAAAAUAUCAUUUUACUUAUCUAUCGUUAAAAAAUAAACCGCGCUCGAACGGUAACAAACAAGAUGAGCAAAUAUGAAUAUCACCGGAAUUUUAUGGAGAUAAAAAUAAAAGUUAAACUUUGUAGGAAUAUAUUUGUUAUUCGAUAUGUUUAAGGAAAGCUUUAUAUAAUUAACUCUAAAUAUAAUUUUACCUUUUCUGAGAAGUCUAAGAUCUUAGUGGAACAUAAAAUUGAAGAAAGUGCUUCCCUAAAAAGAGAAUGUAUUCAGAAGGUAAUUAAUUUGUUAAACAGUGCUUUUGAAACGAGAGGAGUACUACACUUAAAUGAAUGGGACCAUCAUAUUUUAUGGUUAGUUAAGUAGAUGAUUUGAAAUAAUUAUUAAAGCUUUUUGUGUUAUUAUUAGUGUAAAUUUUAAAUAUCACUUCUGUAAUUUCACACUUUCUCACUUUAGCAUCUUGUGAUUUAAAAUGUAUCAAAUUAGUGUCCUGUAGUUUCAUUUUUAUUUUUUCGUCAACUUUUUCGUUAAUAUUUCGUCAAAUUAUAUACAAAAAACUUUAAAUACCUUACCUAAAUUUAUCGAAUAUUUACUUUAAUACCCUUUAGUUUUAACUUUGUCACUAAUUUAAUAAAAAAAUAGUGAAAUUGAUAAUAAAAAAUAAAUAAAUAAUCACAGGGCACUAAAUUGAUACACUUUAAAUCACAUAACACUAAAAUGAGAAAGUGUGAAACCAGAUCGGUGGUGUUUAAAAUCUUUUCUUAUUAUUAUAGCCCUUAUUUCAUUUUCUUUUGUGUUCUAGAACAAGCAAGUUUUAAAAAAAGAAAACGUAGCGUGAUAUCACUUAUGAGAGUGGUUAGGGUAGUUGUAUCCGUUUCCACAAGUAGCCUAAUAGAUGAAUUAGCGAGUCUUAUUGCAUACGUUUUAUUAAGGUUUUGUUUAGAAUUGUGGGGAGAUUGCAUUACGUGCGGUGGAAAAUUAUAAUAGAAAAAUAUAUUGUUUGUUUCCGCAUGUAAUAUUACGUUCGGCAUAUUGCGAUAAGUCUAUUAUAAUAUAUUUUCUACCGUCCCAUCGGAGAACGCAGAAGCAUAUAUCUAUAUGUUUUUUUUCUAACUCCAUUUUAUCUAAUAGCGAUAUAUCUAAAUAUCAAACUAAGACCCCGUUUGGUAUUGCGGUUGGAAGCCCAAAACUCCUUUUUUAAAGUGCUUGGGCUAAGUACCCCGUUUGGUAUUCCAAAUAAUAUCCCACCUUAUCCAACCGCUACCGCAAAUAUACCCCUAAAAUAUGGUACGUACGAAGCAUCCCGCUCGAUGCUUUCUCCAGAUUAGAGUUUGGGAUUUGUGCGUUCUGCACAAAUAAAAUAAUUGAUAGACCAAAUUAUUCCUAAAUUUAAUCAAUCCCAACAUAGAUAAUCUAAAAUGUAAUAUGUACUAUAUACUAUAUAUAAAGACACGUGUGUGGACAGAUCUUUUUCAAAUUAUAAAAUAUAAGGAUAAGAAUAGAAACUGUUGAAAAUGAAUACGUAACGAUAAGAAUAGAAACCAUUGGAAUGUAUUCGAAUACAUAAUACAAUAUGUAACAAACAAAUUUAAUUUAAUUUUUUCUCUAAGAAAUAAAUAAUGAGAGGAAA